rnacentral:lncRNA from 1 species
UGAAAUCAUGGAGUUUAGGGCAGGGUGUUACCCUAGGACUACCCAAACAGAAAGUGUGUAUGUGCGGGAGAAGAGUGCAUAAAAAUACUAUCAUGUAGCUUUCCCAAUGACAGGAGAUAAGUGAUGGUUACAAUGACAUUAAGAAUAAAGGUAACAACAGAAAUGGGAUAACCCGGGGCAGGUAUACGAGAAAGGAAAACGGAGAAUACUCCCUGACAAGAAAUAAAAAUAAAUAAAGCAAUAAGCCAUGCUCACUAAUAUGAACACAGGCCAAACAGAAACUGUGACAGGGCAUAUCCUUUGGCUCUCAAAUGGGAAUCCCAUGUCUCAGAUCUUUCCUUUCAGUGGUGGGCUAGCUGGUUACCUUUGGU